ensembl:lncRNA
GGGUAUUUAACACCCAGUCCUAGAUGCUCCCAUUGCAUGGAGUGACUAUCUGCUUAACACUUCUGAAUAUUGGACCUUGGAAAUUUCAAGUGGGCAUGGCAAAGCUGGAGAGCAAGUUAGACUGCCUGUGGGCUACCAGAGCAGGCCACAGGUGGAGAGUCCUCAUUGCCUUAGGUGUGAAGUACUUAGCUGAGAGAAGCCUUAGUUGUCUGAUUUGUGACAGGUUCUUGUGUAAACCAGAAGAACUAAGGUGGGAGAAAUUGGUCUGUUUUCUGUAAAUAAAUCCAUAGGAGGGCAGAAGGACAAAAAUACAAAGGAUGAGAACACAGGUGACCUGUUGCACCAUGUGAAAAAGCAUAUAUGCUGCUCAGCAUGAAGAAUAAUAUCCUGACUGUUCAGUACAAUAAAGUAGUAUAUCUAUAAGCUGUCUUGAUUUCA